rnacentral:rRNA from 1 species
GUGCCAGCAGCCGCGGUAAUUCCAGCUCCAAUAGCGUAUAUUAAAGUUGUUGUGGUUAAAAAGCUCGUAGUUGAACCUUGGGCCUGGCUGGCCGGUCCGCCUCACCGCGUGCACUGGUCCGGCCGGGCCUUUCCCUCUGUGGAACCCCAUACCCUUCACUGGGCGUGGCGGGGAAACAGGACAUUUACUUUGAAAAAAUUAGAGUGCUCCAGGCAGGCCUAUGCUCGAAUACAUUAGCAUGGAAUAAUAAAAUAGGACGCGCGGUUCUAUUUUGUUGGUUUAUAGGACCGCCGUAAUGAUUAAUAGGGACAGUCGGGGGCAUCAGUAUUCAACUGUCAGAGGUGAAAUUCUUGGAUCAGUUGAAGACUAACUACUGCGAAAGCAUUUGCCAAGGAUGUUUUCAUUAAUCAGGAACGAAAGUUAGGGGAUCGAAGACGAUCAGAUACCGUCGUAGUCUUAACCAUAAACUAUGCCGACUAGGGAUCGGACGGUGUUAUUCAUGACCCGUUCGGCACCUUACGAGAAAUCAAAGUGCUUGGGCUCCAGGGGGAGUAUGGUCGCAAGGCUGAAACUUAAAGAAAUUGACGGAAGGGCACCACCAGGGGUGGAGCCUGCGGCUUAAUUUGACUCAACACGGGGAAACUCACCAGGUCCAGACACAAUAAGGAUUGACAGAUUGAGAGCUCUUUCUUGAUUUUGUGGUGGUGGAUGCAUGACCGGUUCUUAAGUGGUGGGGUGACUUGUCUGCUUAAAUGCGAUAACGAACGAGACCUUAAACCUGCUAAAUAGCCCGCAUUGCUCGGGCAGUGCGGCUGGCUUCUUAAGAGGGAACUAUCCGGCUCAGCCG